UAGGGAAUAUUCCACAAUGAGCGAAAGCUUGAUGGAGCGACACAGCGUGCACGAUGAAGGCCCUCGGGUUGCAAAGUGCUGUUGCAAGGGAAGAACAGUUAGUUGAGGAAAUGCUUCUAAUCUGACGGUACCUUGUUAGAAAGCGAUGGCUAACUAUGUGCCAGCAGCCGCGGUAAUACAUAGGUCGCAAGCGUUAUCCGGAAUUAUUGGGCGUAAAGCGUUCGUAGGCUGUUUAUUAAGUCUGGAGUCAAAUCCCAGGGCUCAACCCUGGCUCGCUUUGGAUACUGGUAAACUAGAGUUAGAUAGAGGUAAGCGGAAUUCCAUGUGGAGCGGUGAAAUGCGUAGAUAUAUGGAAGAACACCAAAGGCGAAGGCAGCUUACUGGGUCUAUACUGACGCUGAGGGACGAAAGCGUGGGGAGCAAACAGGAUUAGAUACCCUGGUAGUCCACGCUGUAAACGAUGAUCAUUAGUCGGUGGAAAACUACUGACGCAGCUAACGCAUUAAAUGAUCCGCCUGAGUAGUAUGCUCGCAAGAGUG
rnacentral:rRNA from 1 species